AUAUCAAUAAGCGGAGGAAAAGAAACCAACAGGGAUUGCCCCAGUAACGGCGAGUGAAGCGGCAACAGCUCAAAUUUGAAAUCUGGCUCUCGCGGUCAGAGUUGUAAUUUGAAGAGGAUGCUUUGGGUGCGGUGCCUUCCGAGUUCCCUGGGACGGGACGCCACAGAGGGUGAGAGCCCCGUAUGGUCGGAUGCCUAGCCUGUGUAAAGCUCCUUCGACGAGUCGAGUAGUUUGGGAAUGCUGCUCUAAAUGGGAGGUAAAUUUCUUCUAAAGCUAAAUACCGGCCCAAGACCGAUAGCGCACAAGUAGAGUGAUCGAAAGAUGAAAAGCACUUUGAAAAGAGGGUUAAACAGCACGUGAAAUUGUUGAAAGGGAAGCGUUUGUGACCAGACUUGCGCCCGGUGAAUCAUCCAGCUCUCUGCGCUGGUGCACUUUGCCGGGCUCAGGCCAGCAUCGGUCUCCUUAGGGGGAUAAAAGCUCCGGGAACGUAGCUCUUUCGGGAGUGUUAUAGCCCGCUGCAGAAUACCCUUCGGGGGACCGAGGUUCGCGCUCCGCAAGGAUGCUGGCGUAAUGGUUACCAACGG
rnacentral:rRNA from 1 species